ACAAAAGUGAGGAGGCAGUUUAUAUAAGGUUGUCUCUUCAUGGGAAAGAACUUUGAGGUAUAUCAAAAUCAAAGGCCGAGAAGUCGUUUUAGUCGUCAUUUUUCUCCAUUGGCGGUCUGAUUGUUGCUCGUCCACAC
rnacentral:snoRNA from 1 species